rnacentral:rRNA from 1 species
UACGUAGGGUCCAAGCGUUGUCCGGAAUUAUUGGGCGUAAAGAGCUCGUAGGCGGUGUGUCGCGUCGGCCGUGAAAACCUGGGGCUUAACUCUGGGCUUGCGGUCGAUACGGGCAUCACUUGAGUUCGGCAGGGGAGACUGGAAUUCCUGGUGUAGCGGUGAAAUGCGCAGAUAUCAGGAGGAACACCGGUGGCGAAGGCGGGUCUCUGGGCAGUAACUGACGCUGAGGAACGAAAGCGUGGGUAGCAAACAGG